rnacentral:rRNA from 1 species
GACGUAGGUGGCGAACGUUAUCCGGAAUUAUUGGGCGUAAAGGGCGCGUAGAUGGCCUGACAAGUUAGCAGUGGGAAAUCGAGGCUCAACCUCGUGGAAGCUGGUAAUACUGUCUGGCUCGAGUGCAGGAGAGGUUAACGGAACUCCAUGUGGAGCGGUAAAAUGCGUAGAUAUAUGGAAGAACACCAAUAACGGCGAAGGCAGUUAACUAUUCUGCUACUGACAUUGAGGCACGAAAGCGUGGGGAGCAAAAAGG